rnacentral:sRNA from 1 species
GUGCACCCAACUGCUGGUGUCCCGACCAGACGAGGAGAACAUCACCAGUUACCUCCAGCUCAUCGAAAAGUGCCUGACUCAUGAGGCUUUCACGGAGACGCAGAAGAAACGGCUGCUAUCCUGGAAACAGCAAGUGCUGAAGCUCCUCCGGACAUUCCCGCGCAAAGCCGCACUAGAGAUGCAGAACUACCGGCAGCAGAAAGGCUGGGCAUUCGGCUCCAACUCGCUCCCCAUAGCUGGCUCUGUGGGGAUGGGAGUGGCCCGGCGUACCCAGCGGCAGUUCCCAAUGCCUCCCCGGGCCCUCCCACCUGGCCGGAUGGGCCUCCUGAGCCCCUCGGGCAUUGGGGGUGUCUCCCCUCGACAUGCCCUCACCAGCCCCAGCCUUGGAGGCCAGGGCCGACAGAACCUGUGGUUUGCCAACCCUGGAGGCAGCAACAGCAUGCCCAGUCAGAGCCGCAGCUCUGUGCAGCGCACCCACUCGCUCCCGGUCCACUCGUCACCCCAGGCCAUUCUCAUGUUCCCUCCAGGUGAGGUGCCCCACCCUUGGGACUCUGCCUGGCCAACAUCCUCAGCUGAACUUUCUCUUUUCUCCUGGGUCUCAUGUCCACUGUUCUUCCAGACUGCCUGGGCACCUCUUACCAUACCUCACACCACUCUGCACCCAUCUCCCCCAAUUGUGGGUGGUUGUUUUCCUCCUCUGCUUCAAUUUU